ensembl:lncRNA
AGGUCUGCUUAGCCCAUUACCAGAAGAGUGUAAUGGGGCAAGAUGUGAUAGACAGGAUGAGUCUGUUCUACUACUUGUAGUUUAAAUUUGAAACAUUUGCCCACAUGUCAUGACAUAAUUUGAGAUGGCAAUUUACCAGGACGUUACACUUGCUAGCAAGCAUACCAAUCUCAGUGUAAACUCUUCAAGUAUUUUAAUUCAGUAAUUCUGGUGAUUUGUAGGUCAAUGAUAGAUUUCAUUAAUGUUGCAGCAGAUUUAUAAAACUAAGGUAGUUUUAGCACUUGUAAUUUGAUGUUCUUAGUGGAAAAUCUUUAAUUUCCGCAUUUUGAAGCAACUUCUUUAACAAUAAUAAUUAGAGAAACACGGUUUCAGUAUUUGCAAUUUUUUAAUUUAUUUUUUUAUUUAAAAGUCAUUACCCUCGGCUUCUACCUAGAAGAAUCAUUUCCUUAGGCUGCUACCACUAAAAUUGCAGUAUUCUAAUGAAAGUAUUAGCAGGAUCCUUUUUAUGGAAAGGGAAGGAGAUAACCUGAGGGGGAUUAAUCACAACGCCUUAUUUGCUAAUUGUUAAGGUUCUUGCUUAUUCUUGUAUGUACGAAUAGAAAUAAUAAGAAAAUUAUUUUCAGUUCCUUAACUCAUAUCCAGCAAGUAGGCAGACACAAGGGGUGCGACCAAGUCAUUUCAUCUGUUAUAUCUGACUCACAUUUUUCAAACAAUGGUGUAUUUUUAUCACUUAAAGGUCAUUUCUUGAAAGCUCUUAAAAUUUUUUGUCACAUCUGUUGACGUUAAUUGGAGCUGUGCAGUUUUACGUACAGCAGUUAACUGUAGAGGUGGAAGUUGAUGUUAAAUCUGUUGAAUGUGGGCUUAUUUCAGUAGGCUGUUCCAGGACAAUAAUUUGAAACAUUUCAAGAAGUCACAAAGUCAGAGCAGUGGGCUGGUGUCGUAUAUCACAAUUGAAAACUAACAAUUUGCAUCUCCUUUAUGACCAUAUUACUUCCUGUUGUGAGAAACUUCAUCAUAUUAAUGGAAACUGCCUUUGUGUUUGUGUGCUCUAGCUCAAACCACGUAGUAUUGUUUUCUAGUCAUUUUUGAUGCUUAAUAGGUAGAGCAAAAAAUGAGAAUCAUGGAAUAGUUUGGGUUGGAAGGAGACUACGUAUUUCCAAUCCCUCCCAUGAUCAGGGUCACCUUCCAGCAGAUCAGGUUGCCCAAGGUCCCAUGUAACCCAGCCUUGAACACAUCCAGGAGUGGGGCAUCCACAUUUUCUCUUGUCAGCCCGUGUCUGUGCUUCACCAACCACAUCAGAGGAGAGUUUCUUCCUUACGUCUAAUCUAAAUCCUACCCUCUUCUAGUUUGCAGCCACUACCCCUUCUCUUAUCACUACGUGCCCUUGUAAGAAGUCCUUUUCCAGUUUUUGUGCGGGACCGUUUUAGAUCUGAAGGGCCACAAUGAGGUCUCAUUGUGGCCUUCUCUUUUUUAGGGUGAACAAGCCCAGCUCCGUCAGCCUCAACAUGCUGGAUUUAUUUUAUUGUAUGAUUAAGAAAAUCUUUGGAUGAAAUUAAAAAUAGCUGCUUGUUGUAAAUGUCAUUAUUUACAGAGAGAGCCAGAACUGUGCGUGUUGCUGACAGCGUUACUGGAAAAUAUCCCCAGGACUUAAAGCAGUUGAAUUGUGUUUUUUGUAGCUAAUAAAAUAAUGUCUUCUCAGAAGAGAGGACUCAGGAUAGUUCCGUGUUCAGUCCUUCAAGGCAAUGCUAGAAUCUCAGAAAAGAUUUACGAAUUCUGCAUCUGUGGUAACUUUCUAAUUGCUGUUGACAAGAGAAAGAAAAGGGAACUGCAGAAUGGAAACAAACGAGUUAAGCCUCAGACAGUAAUAACUGUCCACAUUUCUAAGUCUUUUAGGUUGUGGUCUUGGUUCCAUAGCAAGUGGCUUAGAUAGGUUGGAUUCUGCUGAGCUUAUUCAGAUAUUGAAAGAGGAGGCAAUAUGGGUACUUGGAGCAAAAUGAUUUGUUCAGAAAGCUACUUCCUUUGCCUCUUAAAAAAUCUCAAACUCACUAAGAAGUUCUGUAUAAAAGUCUGAAUAGAACAUUGAAAUGAACUAGUUAUUUUAUACCAUGAACUUAUUUGUUAAUGAACAACUCGAUAGCAGGAUCUCAUGGGAGAUUAUGUUGGAACUGUUGUUUUAAAAAUGAGCGGUACCCGUUUGUGAACAAGUACCUGUAUUGUAGGAUCCACAUCCUAGAAGGUUUUCAUAACAUGGCAGCAAGUCCCUGAGCAGCCUUAUCUAACCUGACAUUAUCCCAGUUAGCAGGGAAAGGACUAGAUGACCUCUAAAGAUGUCUUCCAGCCUAAUUUAUUCUAUGAUCCUGUGCUAAUCCCCUUUAUCUCCACCUUCAUCAUUCCCUACCACAAAAACUUUAUUGAGUUGACUGUGGACACCAAUAAUUGUGUAACCUCUUCUUAUCUUGACAGGUAACACACUGUGUUGUACCGUUUU